rnacentral:lncRNA from 10 species
AAACCAACAAAAUCAGGAUACACCAGAAGACACGACCCCACCCUGUUUUUAUGGCUGGCUCCUCCCAGUACAGGAUGAAGUAUAGUCCCCCAGGAUUUAAAGUGCUUAUUUAACAGAUGAAUCAUGUGUGGAUAAAUUGUGGAUCACAUUUAUCUUUUGAAACUUACUACUUGAGGUUUGCUCUCUAAAAUAAGACUCUUGGACUCACAAAGGCCAGAAAACCUUUAUGUCUGCAGAUAUAUGAUAAGAAGAUGUUUAAAGUACUCUGUUGGAAAUAUCUGGGGAGUGCCAUAAAGGAGAAGGACUGGUAUCCCUCAGUCCCACAAGGUCACUGGAGUGGAACAUCAGUGCUAUGACAUAUUUGUUUCCGGGGAAAAGCACAUUGGCCUUUGCCUCCUUCUUUUCUAACCAGCUGGCAAAUAAAGGUAUUUGACAGCAAAAAUACAGAGAUAUCCACUUAUCAAAUAUACUAGUUUGGAAAAGGUGUCAGAAAGCAGAAAUGAAUGGGUGUGUGUUGUGUGCUGUGGCACCAUAUUUAUAGAACACAGGGUUAGCCUUAAGAAAGACAUACCUAUCUUUUGGAAAUAUUGAUCUGUCAUUUUGAAAAAUAGGAAGAAAAACUGUUAAAAUUCUGUUGCUGCAUUAUUUUCAUUGGCAUCCCUAGGAAAAUCCUUUUACUACGUCCAGUUUAUUGGAAAUAGUCUUAGAAUAAAUUAAUGUGAGUAUCCUCACUGCAGAUGUCUGUUCAUGCACAUAAUGAUUUUAG